AACACCCCUGAAGAAGCCCAUGAGGAGGAGUCACUGGAUUCUCCUCGUCAGCCCAGCGAGGCCCUGGGCAGAAUUGAGAUGGUUCACCAGGGAGGAUUGGCUCUAGGUGCAGACCAUGGCCUAGGAACUAAGAGACUGCAGGGGUGGGUGCUGGAUGGUGAACGUAGCCCUAGGUAGGGUCCAGGGCCCAAGUCUGAAAGAGGCAGGCAACCCCCAGAACACCAAUGGCCUCUGCUCCAGGAGUCUUGCUUGUUCUGUACCAAGGAAAGAUCCUCCUGCGCUGACCUAGUGACUGGCUCCCAAGCCCUGCCAUGCCUGCUGUCCGUCCGUCCACUGCUGGGGUCAGAAGUGACAUCACCUUUCAGCAAGGUGGCCUAAGGGAAAUCAUGGGAACAACCAGAUGGCACCAUAUUGCAGCUCAGUGACCAGUUCCUGUACAGGCCCUUGCCAGUGCCACAGUCUUUAGGAGCACAGAGAUGAUACCACGCAGUGCAAUCCAUGUGCAUCCAACACAGCCUGUGCCCACUGUCUCCACAAGGCUUGCUUUUGAUAAACGUUGGUCUUCUAUGGGUCCUGAAGUCCUCCACUUGCACAUGGAGAGAACGUGCCAUUCUCCAUC